GAUGAACGCUGGCGGCGCGCCUAAUACAUGCAAGUCGAGCGAAUGGAUUAAGAGCUUGCUCUUAUGAAGUUAGCGGCGGACGGGUGAGUAACACGUGGGUAACCUGCCCAUAAGACUGGGAUAACUCCGGGAAACCGGGGCUAAUACCGGAUAACAUUUUGAACCGCAUGGUUCGAAAGUGAAAGGCGGCUUCGGCUGUCACUUAGGGAUGGACCCGCGUCGCAUUAGCUAGUUGGUGAGGUAACGGCUCACCAAGGCAACGAUGCGUAGCCGACCUGAGAGGGUGAUCGGCCACACUGGGACUGAGACACGGCCCAGACUCCUACGGGAGGCAGCAGUAGGGAAUCUUCCGCAAUGGACGAAAGUCUGACGGAGCAACGCCGCGUGAGUGAUGAAGGCUUUCGGGUCGUAAAACUCUGUUGUUAGGGAAGAACAAGUGCUAGUUGAAUAAGCUGGCACCUUGACGGUACCUAACCAGAAAGCCACGGCUAACUACGUGCCAGCAGCCGCAGUAA
rnacentral:rRNA from 1 species